CGAACGGGUGAGUAACGCGUGGGUAACCUGCCUUAUAGCGGGGGAUAACUAUUGGAAACGAUAGCUAAUACCGCAUAACAAUAGAGAUUGCAUAAUCUUUAUUUGAAAGUGCCAACUGGUACACUAUGAGAUGGACCCGCGUUGUAUUAGCUAGUUGGUAGUGUAAUGGACUACCAAGGCGAUGAUACAUAGCCGACCUGAGAGGGUGAUCGGCCACAUUGGGACUGAGACACGGCCCAAACUCCUACGGGAGGCAGCAGUAGGGAAUCUUCGGCAAUGGACGAAAGUCUGACCGAGCAACGCCGCGUGAGUGAAGAAGGUUUUCGGAUCGUAAAACUCUGUUGUUAGAGAAGAAUGUUGAUUAGAGUGGAAAAUUAAUCAAGUGACGGUAUCUAACCAGAAAGGGACGGCUAACUACGUGCCAGCAGCCGCGGUAAUACGUAGGUCCCGAGCGUUGUCCGGAUUUAUUGGGCGUAAAGCGAGCGCAGGUGGUUUAAUAAGUCUGAUGUGAAAGGCAGUGGCUCAACCAUUGUGUACAUUGGAAACUGUUAGACUUGAGUGCAGUAGAGGAGAGUGGAAUUCCAUGUGUAGCGGUGAAAUGCGUAGAUAUAUGGAGGAACACCGGUGGCGAAAGCGGCUCUCUGGACUGUCACUGACACUGAGGCUCGAAAGCGUGGGUAGCAAACAGGAUUAGAUACCCUGGUAGUCCACGCCGUAAACGAUGAGUGCUAGUUGUUUGGGGCUAUCCAGCCCUAAGUGACGCAGCAAACGCAUUAAGCACUCCGCCUGGGGAGUACGACCGCAAGGUUGAAACUCAAAGGAAUUGACGGGGGCCCGCACAAGCGGUGGAGCAUGUGGUUUAAUUCGAAGCAACGCGAAGAACCUUACCAGGUCUUGACAUACUCGUGCUA
rnacentral:rRNA from 1 species